AGUCGAACCUGUGCUCUGUAAAGGAAAAGUCGAUUGUUUUGUUUCAAAAUUUAAAGUUCUGAUGAAGAUCACCGGCGGUGGUCGAAAUAUUGGUAAAAAUUACAAAUAAAACACCAACACCUGUUUUUGCAAAAUUAUUCGAUGACCUCGAACCAAAGCAAUAAGACAAAGUUAAAAAAAGCAAUCAUGAAAAAAUUUCGUUAAAAGCGAAUGUAGUACGAAUAUAGUAGUACCCUAUAAACAGCUGAAAUUUGAAUAUAA